rnacentral:lncRNA from 1 species
CACCUUCUCAGGUGAGUGCAUAGUUACUUUCAUCUUACACAUAGAUAUGAAGUAUUUUAUAUAAACUACGUGCUAUGUGUGCAUAUUAUCUGAAUACUUGUUGUCUAUGCUGGAUGAACGUUUUUUUAUACAUGUUUUAAAUGAUUUGAACUGUAUACGUAUUUUAAAUAUACAAGUAUGUUGGGUAUGAGAUGGGUAGAUGAAUGAUGAGAGAUAAAAGAUGAUGUGAGUAAACAUUGGCAGCUAUAGACUUAGUGCCUAACAAAUAACAUCGGCAACUAUGGACUUAGUGCCUAUUGGACAAACACUGGUAGCUAUGGUCUUAGUACCUGUUAGGAAUUGGUAGCUAUGGACUUAGUACCUAUUAGAUAAACACUGGUAGCUAUGGAUUUAGUACCCAGCAGCUAUGGAAUUAGUGCUUUACGAACGAGCAUUGGCAGCUAUGGAUUUAGUGUCAGUUCUAUAACUCUGGAAGCAAAGGACUUCAGAAUGAACGAAUGCGGGAUAGAUGACUCUUAGGAUAGAUCCUUAAGAGUAAAGAAGAUAAUGGGGAUGGGUAAUUGGGUCGAUUUUUUGAUUGUUUAAACAUAAUAAUUAUAUUAUUGUGGGUUGAAAACCCUAUGUACUCACCAGGUUUCCCAACCUGACCCACUCAGUUUAUUUAUAUUACAGGUGUUGAGAUGAAUUCACAUUACACUGAGAGAUUAAAGAGAUGUAGAUCAUUAGUAUAAAUAAAUGUAAGUUCUGUUUAUGCUUAUGUUUCUGUAUUGACGAUGACAUCCCAAAUGUUUUAAAACGAAUUAAAAAUACUUUUCUUCGGAAAUGCUUUGAUAACGUAUUUAUCAUGUUUUACCGGGAAAAAUUCCGCAAUAUUUUUAUUAAAAGAGGUACUCUGAUUUUUAUAAAGCAUAAACAAAAUCGGUAUUUUCUUGCCGUGAAAAUAGGGAUGUCACAGUUGGUAUCAGAGCAUUAGUUUAAGCGAACUAGGAAUAAGGAUUUAUUUCUAGACUUAAACUUAGAAUGCUAAGCGAUGAUUGUGAGAUGAGUAUCUGCUAUAAUUUAGACACGAGCACUAGUUUAUUUUAGGAAAAUGCCUAAAAAUUUUUAUGUGCUAAAUGAUUUAUGUUAUAGCUAUAAAAAAUGCCUUAUAUGUUGUUAUUUGUUCGGAUCUAUGGUCUGUUUCCGACCGGAUCUGGAAACCUUAUGUGUUCAGGAUUCUAAGCGUAUGAUUAUGAUAUUAGAACUAGCAUGUAACGUUUCAGAGUAUUAAGGAGAUUUAUACGUCUAUCGUAAAUAAAAUCUUUCCUAUCUUAAAUUCUUGUCUCGGUACACCGAGCGUCUGCUUGGGUGUACAAAACAAGAGGAAGAUGACAACCUGACCCUAAGAAUGUGAUGGGUCAUGCAUCGGUCGUUGCGCCUGCACCCGAACCUAUCACAAUGGCAGAAGUUCAGGAAAUGAUGCAAACCAUGAUAAACUAAGAAAAUAGAGGAAAAGAGAUGACUUACGAUACUGAAUAAUACCUAUCAGAAGAUAUAAUAAGAGAGGUAUCUUGCCUUUAGAAUACGUCUGAUAAAAUAGCAGUACGUCUAUAGAGGUAGGGUACAUCUGAAUGUACACAUUUGAUUGGCGGGAUGAUAGAACGAUUGGUGUAAUUCCUAAAAUUUUCCUAUCAUUUGGAAUGUCCAUCACCAACCGAGUUGAAGCAGAAUUGAUGAUUGAAGAUAUACAUGGAAGAAGUCCUAGUAGAGUCUAGGGAAAUUUUUAUGAUUAUUUGGACACACUCGUAUGUGUUAAAUUGCGUUGUGAUUUUAGGACUUGGGGACUACGAGACAAUACUUGGGACGAGUAUGAGUCGGUGUGAAAGGUAGUAUAUGCAUAUACUAACGGAAGCACAUGACUCACGCUUGGAUUAGGGAAAGUCACAAGGUUACCAAGAAACUAGUAACUGAUUUCGUUUUAUUCAAGUAUGUCAUUACCAUCGUUUCGGUAAUGACUAAGAAGAUUGUUAUUCCGACCCUAGUGGUCAUAUCAAAUUGAGUCCGAUUACGUUGAGUAUGUUAUGUGGUUUAGAGAAUCAAGUUCGAUGUAGCGUCUGACUUAAGAAAAAAAUAUUGAAAUAAAAAGUGAUCAGUAGAGGUAUCACGAAAGGUUGCUUGUAGCUAGAAAUGCUACCUUUUAAGAUGUGGUUAGAGCAUGAAGGAAGGUAUAGUCUGUUCUGGAAUUUGACUCUAAAAGACCUGAGUCCAAGCGAUGCAUCAUACGAUGAGAGGUCAUUAGAACAUGACCCAUCAGUCUAUUAUGAUAAUUGAAGAAAGAAACUUAUCUCAAGUUUGUUAAAAAAAGGAGUCUCCAAUAAAGAUCGAGAUAGCGACAUGAAGAUCAUGAUUGGAAGUCUAACAUGAGAUAGAGAGCGGGUCCAAGAUCGGGCACUGCCUGCAGUCAGGAAGUCUUAGAGUUAGAUACUCAUUUGAAGAGACAUCAAAGUUACGGUUAUUACUUAGGAUGAAGAGAUAACGUGUGGAGUCAUCAUAUGAGUCCUAUUUCGUUGAUGAUUCCGGGACGUAAUCAUCCUAAGGGGGAGAAAAUUGUAAUGCCCCUAGAUCCGAGCUAGUCAAUUUAGAGAUAAUAGGGGUCGAAAACGACUUUUUGACAAAAGAUUAUUUAGAAUAAAUAAUCUUAACCAAGUUGUAGAAUAUGUCUCAAGGGUUUCGUACAUAUAAAGAGCGCCGAAAUUCGAGUUAUAACGAAGAAGUUAUGAUCCAUCGAAGUUUAGCGACGGAACCAACACGGCACCGCGAAGACGUAAAUAGUAUAUUUAUGAUAGAGCAACUUUUAGCCUUAGUAAUCUAAAUGAAAGUCAUAGAAUAUGUUAACCUGAGAACGUCCAUCAAAAGAAUGCCCAAAUCUGACUUUGUAUAAGGAAGUUAUGAUUUUUCAAAGUUUCAGCUUAGCGGUGUACAGCCCGAAGUUCGAGUAUUAGAUCGAGCGGUUUUUAGCCGACACAACCUAAACGAGAAUCGAAGAUCUCAUUAUUAGUAGCGUAACAAUAAAAAGACAGAUGAAAAUGGACAUCGGAGGAAAUUAUUUUAAAGUACACGAAGCGCUAUCCGAGUACCGAGUCACCACCUUCUCAGGUGAGUGCAUAGUUACUUUCAUCUUACACAUAGAUAUGAAGUAUUUUAUAUAAACUACGUGCUAUGUGUGCAUAUUAUCUGAAUACUUGAUGUCUAUGCUGGAUGAACGUUUUUUUAUACAUGUUUUAAAUGAUUUGAACUGUAUAUGUAUUUUAAAUAUACAAGUAUGUUGGGUAUGAGAUGGGUAGGUGAAUGAUGAGAGAUAAAAGAUGAUGUGAGUAAACAUUGGCAGCUAUAGACUUAGUGCCUAACAAACAGCAUCGGCAGCUAUGGACUUAGUCUCUAUUGGACAAACACUGGUAGCUAUGAUCUUAGUACCUGUUAGGAAUUGGUAGCUAUGGACUUAAUACCUAUUAGAUAAACACUGGUAGCUA